rnacentral:rRNA from 1 species
GUGGGGAAUAUUGGACAAUGGGGGCAACCCUGAUCCAGCCAUGCCGCGUGUGUGAAGAAGGCCUUUUGGUUGUAAAGCACUUUAAGCGAGGAGGAGGCUCUUCUAGUUAAUACCUAGGAUGAGUGGACGUUACUCGCAGAAUAAGCACCGGCUAACUCUGUGCCAGCAGCCGCGGUAAUACAGAGGGUGCGAGCGUUAAUCGGAUUUACUGGGCGUAAAGCGUACGUAGGCGGCUUUUUAAGUCGGAUGUGAAAUCCCUGAGCUUAACUUAGGAAUUGCAUUCGAGACUGGGAAGCUAGAGUAUGGGAGAGGAUGGUAGAAUUCCAGGUGUAGCGGUGAAAUGCGUAGAGAUCUGGAGGAAUACCGAUGGCGAAGGCAGCCAUCUGGCCUAAUACUGACGCUGAGGUACGAAAGCAUGGGGAGCAAACAGGAUUAGAUACCCUGGUAGUCC